rnacentral:rRNA from 1 species
CCUACGGGGGGCAGCAGUGAGGAAUAUUCGUCAAUGGGCGCGAGCCUGAACCAGCCAAGUAGCGUGAAGGAUGACUGCCCUACGGGUUGUAAACUUCUUUUAUAAAGGAAUAAAGUGAGGCACGUGUGCCUUUUUGUAUGGACUGUAUGAAUAAGGAUCGGCUAACUCCGCGCCAGCAGCCGCGGUAAUACGGAGGAUCCGAGCGUUAUCCGGAUUUAUGGGGUUUAAAGGGUGCGUAGGCGGAAUAUCAAGUCAGCGGUAAAAAUUCGGGGCUCAACCCCGUCGGGCCGUUGAAACUGAUGUUCUUGAGUGGGGGAGAGGUAAGCGGAAUUCGUGGUGUAGCGGUGAAAUGCAUAGAUAUAACGAAGAACUCCAAUGGCGAAGGCAGCAUACUGGCGCCCAACUGACGCUGAAGCACGAAAGCGUGGGUAUCGAACAGGAUUAGAUACCCGUGUAGUC